GAUGAACGCUGGCGGCGUGCCUAAUACAUGCAAGUCGAGCGAACGGACGAGAAGCUUGCUUUUCUGAUGUUAGCGGCGGACGGGUGAGUAACACGUGGAUAACCUACCUAUAAGACUGGGAUAACUUCGGGAAACCGGAGCUAAUACCGGAUAAUAUUUUGAACCGCAUGGUUCAAAAGAGAAAGACGGUCUUGCUGUCACUUAUAGAUGGAUCCGCGCUGCAUUAGCUAGUUGGUAAGGUAACGGCUUACCAAGGCAACGAUGCAUAGCCGACCUGAGAGGGUGAUCGGCCACACUGGAACUGAGACACGGUCCAGACUCCUACGGGAGGCAGCAGUAGGGAAUCUUCCGCAAUGGGCGAAAGCCUGACGGAGCAACGCCGCGUGAGUGAUGAAGGUCUUCGGAUCGUAAAACUCUGUUAUUAGGGAAGAACAUAUGUGUAAGUAACUGUGCACAUCUUGACGGUACCUAAUCAGAAAGCCACGGCUAACUACGUG
rnacentral:rRNA from 1 species